rnacentral:rRNA from 1 species
UGGGGAAUUUUGGACAAUGGGCGAAAGCCUGAUCCAGCAAUGCCGCGUGUGUGAAGAAGGCCUUCGGGUUGUAAAGCACUUUUGUCCGGAAAGAAAUCCUUGGCUCUAAUACAGUCGGGGGAUGACGGUACCGGAAGAAUAAGCACCGGCUAACUACGUGCCAGCAGCCGCGGUAAUACGUAGGGUGCAAGCGUUAAUCGGAAUUACUGGGCGUAAAGCGUGCGCAGGCGGUUCGCUAAGACCGAUGUGAAAUCCCCGGGCUCAACCUGGGAACUGCAUUGGUGACUGGCAGGCUAGAGUAUGGCAGAGGGGGGUAGAAUUCCACGUGUAGCAGUGAAAUGCGUAGAGAUGUGGAGGAAUACCGAUGGCGAAGGCAGCCCCCUGGGCCAAUACUGACGCUCAUGCACGAAAGCGUGGGGAGCAAACAGGAUUAGAUACCCUGGUAGUCCACGCCCUAAACGAUGUCAACUAGUUGUUGGGGAUUCAUUUCCUUAGUAACGUAGCUAACGCGUGAAGUUGACCGCCUGGGGAGUACGGUCGCAAGAUUAAAACUCAAAUGAAUUGACGGGGUC